rnacentral:rRNA from 1 species
GACGAACGCUGGCGGCGUGCUUAACACAUGCAAGUCGAACGGAAAGGCCUCUUUCGGGGGGUACUCGAGUGGCGAACGGGUGAGUAACACGUGAGUAACCUGCCCUUGACUUUGGGAUAACUUCAGGAAACUGGGGCUAAUACCGGAUAGGAGCUCCUGCUGCAUGGUGGGGGUUGGAAAGUUUCGGCGGUUGGGGAUGGACUCGCGGCUUAUCAGCUUGUUGGUGGGGUAGUGGCUUACCAAGGCUUUGACGGGUAGCCGGCCUGAGAGGGUGACCCGCCACAUUGGGACUGAGAUACGGCCCAGACUCCUACGGGAGGCAGCAGUGGGGAAUAUUGCACAAUGGGUGGAAGCCCGAUGCAGCAACGCCGUGUGCGGGAUGACGGCCUUCGGGUUGUAAACCGCUUUCGCUCAUGACGAAGCUUUGUGUGACGGUAGUGGGUAAAGAAGCACCGGCUAACUACGUG